UGCCUCUUUCUUGGUGAUUUGAUCAUAAACAUUGUGUGUUGGCUCACAAACCUGGGAUUCCAUCAGGCAGAAUCCUGCCUGCAGGAGGGGGCAGGUGAGGAUGCUGAGGGUGCGAGCAUCUUCCUUUGUUGUCUCAGCAUCUCUUUUUGAACCCAGGCAUAAGAGAAGGCCCCUGUGUCAUUGAUAGGUUCAUGGCACAUCAACGAGUGUGACUGGGGAGUGCUGGCAAAUCUACAGUUGAACUGCCUAAUAAUUUGUGGCAUCAGAACCAUGCAGGAGACAAACAAAAUGACUUAGACCUUCUGUGUGAUCUCACGAGGGUUGUGUUGUAGGGCUCCUGUAAUAAGAAAUGGAGGUCUCAUCAUGUUUCCCCGGCUGGUCUUAAAC
rnacentral:lncRNA from 1 species